UGUAGGGGCGCGACUGCGGAGCGGCAUCCCGGCCUCCGACGAUAAGAGAACCACCGGCUCCUGAAACACAGACGUCACGCGGCGUGAUUUAUCUGCUAUGCGGUGAAUGCGGAUUCAUAUAAUGUCGCUCACCGUUGAGGACAAAGAGCAGCAGGAGCAGGGAACCGGUUGCCAUGGUGUCUGAUUUCCGAAAAAAAAGGGGCUUCGUUAUUGAUGCAAGAAACCGGAUGGCGUUGGAAAUAUAACCGCCACGCGAGUCGGACAGAAACCUACCGAUGACCUGAAAGGAUUUGAGUGGAAGAUUGUUCCCGUCCCGACUCGGUGGGAGUGGAUCCAGCGUUUCCAGUCUUCUCGCUGGUGUCAAGUUGACAUGUUGACAGACCUGGAAACAGUAAAUGCUAACAGUCCGAUGCAACUCGCAGAAGAAGGACUCCAUCCGAGGAAAACCUCCCCACCUGCUUCACGUCGUAUAUAUAAACGGGGAAAAAGCAGAUUUUAACAUUGUUCACGAAAUAAUGUGGCUUUUUUUAAAGGAGGAAAAUACACCUGUUAAUAUAAAUAAAACUGCAGCGUUGAAAAAAAUACCGGCGUGACAAAACACAGAGUCUGUCUGGUUCCACGGGCAUGAAGAACUACAGGCUGGAGAGGCUUUGGCACGGCUAAGACGUUGCAUGAAGCGGCACCGACUUUGGUCUUUUCCAGUCACUAAGGGCCAAAGACAACCUCGUCAUGUCGACUGGGACGUUGGCCAACAUGUGGCUGGCCGGCCUCCGCUGGCCCAACUAUAGAGGAGAUGGUCUGUGGCCCUGAAGGCUGCCGCCACCUUUUCUUUGAUCAUCUUCUUAAGAGUCUUGCAACCUUUAUACUCUCUCUGCAUAAUUUAUUUUUAAUUUUUAGUGUUGCUUCAUAGCCAUUAAAUAAAGAGGUCCAUUAGCUUGUUGUGCAAAGGUGGAUAGAGAAAAAAUAGCUGUAGGCUCAAACAACUGCAAGUAUUUAGUUAUCAUUUCUUCUUCUUCUUCUUCUUCUUUCUUAUUAUCAUCAAUUUCCUGUGACAAUUAUCAUUAUUUUAAUUACUACAUGUACACUACCGUUCAAAAGUUUUGGGUCACCCAGACAAUUUCGUGUCUUCCAUGAAAACUCACACUUUUAUUUAUCAAAUGAAUUGAAAAUUGAAGAGAAAAUAUAGUCAAGACAUUGACAAGGAUAGAAAUAAUGAUUCAUAUUUGAAGUAUUCAUUUUGUUCUUCAAACUUCAAGCUCAAAGGAAGGCCAGUUGUAUAGCUUAUAUCACCAGCAUAACUGUUUUCAGCUGUGCUAACAUAAUUGCACAAGGGUUUUCUAAUCAGACAUUAGUCUUCUAAGGCGAUUAGCAAACACAAUGUACCAUUAGAACACUGGAGUGAUAGUUGAUGGAAAUGGGCCUCUAUACACCUCUGGAGAUAUUUCAUUAGAAACCAGACGUUUCCACCUAGAAUAGUCAUUUACCACAUUAACAAUGUAUAGUGUGGAUUUUUGAUUAAUGUUAUCUUUAUUGAAAAAACAGUGCUUUUCUUUGAAAAAUAAAGACAUUUCUAAGUGACCCCAAACUUUUGAACGGUAGUGUAUAUUCUUUGACCCUCCUCUUACCGGUGACCCCCAGAAAAAGUCAAAAUCCGACCUCCACUUCCGGGGCGCCAUUGUAGCUGUCAGACGACUCCACCACCCUCAGAUGCCAGAUGUUCAGCUUGUGUGUCAGUGUGUGUCAGUGUGUGUGUACUUGUGCGCUCCCCGAACCUUCUUAAAAAUAUUUAUUUGA